CCUACGGGUGUCAUCAGUGAGGAAUAUUGGUCAAUGGACGAGAGUCUGAACCAGCCAAGUAGCGUGAAGGCUGACUGCCCUCUGGUUUGUAAACUUCUUUUAUAUGGGAGUACAACCUUCCACGUGUUGGAUUUUGUAUGUACCAUACGAAUAAGGAUCGGCUCACUACGUGCCAUCAGCCGCGGUACUACGGAGGAUCCGAGCGUUAUCCGGAUUUAUUGGGUUUAAAGGGAGCGGAGGUGGAUUGUUAAGUCAGUUGUGAAAGUUUGUGGCUCAACCGUAAAAUUGCAGUUGAAACUGGCAGUCUUGAGUACAGUAGAGGUGGGCGGAAUUCGUGGUGUAGCGGUGAAAUGCUUAGAUAUCACGAAGAACUCCGAUGGCGAAGGCAGUUCACUGGACUGCAACUGACACUGAGGCUCGAAAGUGUGGGUAUCAAACAGGAUUAGAUACCCGUGUAGUC
rnacentral:rRNA from 1 species